UGCCUGAUCAGGAGAUCUCAUAACCCUUCCAUCCUCUGUCCCAGACUGACAUCACAGACAUGAGCUGAUGCAAGAAGUGAAUAGAUGAACAGACACAGAAAGCUACGUUUACUUAAAUGUAGCUUUGUGUUCACCUACCUUCACACCAGAGCCAUGACACAUACUCUCCUCCAGCAAAAACUUAAAGCAAAUCUUUAGAAGAUUUUCCCAAAUCUUCUGCGGAAUUGUUCUUAUAGGAAAUACGGGGUGGCAAGAAACCCACAAGGUUAAAAUCAGAGCCACGGCAAGCAAAUCUCUCCCAUAUCUGCAAAACAAAACCAGAUUCAGGGUGACUAGAAAGAUGGACUAAGCUCAGAAUUUGUAACAAAACAAGAAGGAACAAAGCCUAAAGCAGCAGAUCCAGCAAAGCACUUAACCAAGGAGCUGAGCAAGGUCAUCUACAGAAGAAAUAAAGUACUUGGCUGGA